AAUGACUCAUUCGCUUGUA
rnacentral:snRNA from 1 species